AGCAGAUGGGUUAAGGCUGAUAUCGGUCUGAUGGACCAGAACAAUGGUGCCAAAGCUGUGGCUGCUAUCAGACUUCUGUUUAAACAGCCGCGAGGGCUGGGAUCGCUGCUAUCACUGGUGGAAAAGGAGCACCACGCAGCUGAGCCGAAAGCAAAGGCAGGAAAUCAGCAAUGAGCAUAACGCUUUUGACGCCAUAUGGCACAACGCCGGACACGCCUGGAACGCCCCCCAUGGGGCUGACCACCCCCUCCCCACCGCAGCCCUCCAUCCCCACCGCCGGAUCUGAGCCGUACGCAUUGCUCUGCUAAGGGAUGCCCGACCCCACGCGUGGGUGCAGUCCUGCAGCACGUCAGCCCCACGGGGGGGCACCUUCUGGCAGUGUGUGGGGCCGGGUGCUGUGCCACAGGUGUGUGGGGUUGGUUGGCAGCCCGGCUGGCGGAUCGUGUGAGCAACCAGGCUUUAUCAGAAGGGAUAAUGGGCUUACGUGGCACAUUAUUUAAGGAAAAGGGACAAGCGAUUGAGCUCUGCAGACUAAUUAGAUUGAGUUGAUGAGCUCAUCAGUAAUGUGUGUAAUUAAGAUCAAGAGCUAAUUGGGGGCUGCUUGGUGCCCUACAUUCUGUAGGGCUGUCUCUUGCGUGGUGCGGUGUGGUUGGGGAGCAGUGGGGUUCUCUGCAGGUGGGGUGUCCCAGCCCCAGCUCUGGUUGAAGUGUGUGGAGGCAGUGGUUUGGGUAUGGUGUCCAACCUUUUGGCCGCACAGAGCAGAAGGAAAUGGUCUUGGGCCACGUAGACGUAGGUUGUACCGAAAGUAAUGCCUCCUAUUUAUUUCCGUGGAAACUACAGCAGAUACAAAGGGCACAAUAACACAAUAUGAUAGAGCGAAUUCUCGGGUACAGAACACUAUUUUUCAGCUUAGUCCCCACAAUGGGCUCUGCAUUUCUGCCAGCAAUGAACAAAAGCCUGCAUGAUGUGCUCAUCAGAGCGUGCACCAGUGGAGGUGACCCGCUGUUGUCACUGCUGAAACGCACUCACCUCCCACCCCUCACCGUGCUCACAUCCAUUGUUUGUCUCCAGAAACAUUCACCAACCAUCAGCGGAUGCCAAUGGGUGAGACUGCAUUCCCAGAGGAACUCAAUCCCACACCUUUGCUUCGUCUGCACUUCCAUGUCAGACACUGCUGUGUCAGACUGCCCCUCUGCUGCCAUCUGUCACACGGCAACAACAUGGGACGGGGUAUUGGUGGGAAGGUUCCACCUCUACUGCCUCUGCCUCUACCAUCACCAUCCGCCUCUGAUGUGGUCAUGAAACAGGAGGCAUUACUUCUGAUGCGGACCUCAUAGAAUACACAGAGGAAAUCAUCUGUGCUGGAGAGGACUGGGACAACCGUGCAGCAGAUGCUGGAGGGUGCUGGCACGUCCCUGGGAUGUGCUGGUGCAUAACUGACACCCGUCAUGGGAUCCUGCUCCAGGCAGGUCCAGACAGCCUGGAGAAGAACUCGUUGAGAGCAGCCCUGCGGAGAAGGACUUGGGGGUCCCGAUGGACAGAAGCGGGACAUGAGGCAGCAGUGUGCGCCUGCAGCCCGGAAGGCCGACAGUCCCCUGGGCUGCAGCAACAGAGGGGUGGCAGCAGGGAGAGGAGAGGGAGGGGGUUGUGCCCCUCUGCUCUGCCCCUGGAAGGCCCCACCUGCAGUGCUGUGCCCAGGCCUGGGGCCCCCAGGACAGGAGGGAUGCGGAGCUGCUGAAGCGGGUGCAGAGGAGGGCACGAGGAUGCACAGAGGGCUGCAGCACCUCUGCUGUGAAGACAGGCUGAGGGGGUGGCUUCUCUCCUACAAGAGGGGAGGCGUUGGUUAGAUGUGAGGGCGGUGAGGCACUGGCACUGCUGCCCGGAGAGCUGUGGGUGCCCCAUCCCUGCAGGCACUCAAGGCCAGGUGGGAUGGGGCCCUGGGCAGCCUGAGCUGGUGGGGGGCAGCCCUGCCCAUGGCCGAGGGUGGCACUGAGUGGGCUUUGAGGUCCCUCCAACCUGAGCUGUUCUGUGAUUCUGUGGUUCUAUGAGAUGUGCAUGAGGCAGACUGUGCUGCCUGCCCCACACCUCCAGUAUUGCUGUUGUUUCCCCCGGACCCAGCCCUGAGCUGCCAGCAGCGGCUCCCAACCGCCUGCCCUUGCAGGGAGCGCGAGGAAACAAUGUUUAUUUGCAAAUACGGCUGUUAUUGAGCCAAAUGAGAGAGAUUAUUAGGGGCUCAUGGAAUUGUCAGCGAGCACUGUUUAAUUAGAGCUCAGACAUAACACUCAUCAUUACCCGUAGCUCCGCUCUGAUCUCAGGCUCUGUACCCCCAGGCUUCCCUGGCUGCAGGGAGCGCAGCGAGGCCGGCUCUCCCCAGCUCCCUCAUCAAAUACCUGCUCCAGCCUCUCAAGGUUAGCGCGAUGGGGGUCAGCCAUGUUUAAACGUUGAUUACAGAGUCGGCGGGAGCCGCUAAGAUUUCUAAUUAAGAUUAAAGAAUGC
ensembl:lncRNA